rnacentral:rRNA from 1 species
UACGUAGGGUGCAAGCGUUAAUCGGAAUUACUGGGCGUAAAGCGUGCGCAGGCGGUUUUGUAAGUCUGAUGUGAAAUCCCCGGGCUCAACCUGGGAAUUGCAUUGGAGACUGCAAGGCUAGAGUGUGUCAGAGGGGGGGUAGAAUUCCACGUGUAGCAGUGAAAUGCGUAGAUAUGUGGAGGAACACCGAUGGCGAAGGCAGCCCCCUGGGAUGAACACUGACGCUCAUGCACGAAAGGCGUGGGGAGCAAACGAGG